rnacentral:rRNA from 1 species
GAUGAACGCUGGCGGCGUGCCUAAUACAUGCAAGUCGAGCGAACGGACGAGAAGCUUGCUUCUCUGAUGUUAGCGGCGGACGGGUGAGUAACACGUGGAUAACCUACCUAUAAGACUGGGAUAACUUCGGGAAACCGGAGCUAAUACCGGAUAAUAUUUUGAACCGCAUGGUUCAAAAGUGAAAGACGGUCUUGCUGUCACUUAUAGAUGGAUCCGCGCUGCAUUAGCUAGUUGGUAAGGUAACGGCUUACCAAGGCAACGAUGCAUAGCCGACCUGAGAGGGUGAUCGGCCACACUGGAACUGAGACACGGUCCAGACUCCUGCGGGAGGCAGCAGUAGGGAAUCUGCCGCAAUGGGCGGAAGCCUGACGGAGCAACGCCGCGUGAGUGAUGAAGGUCUUCGGAUCGUAAAACUCUGUUAUUAGGGAAGAACAUAUGUGUAAGUAACUGUGCACAUCUUGACGGUACCUAAUCAGAAAGCCACGGCUAACUACGUG